UACGUAGGGGGCAAGCGUUGUCCGGAUUUAUUGGGCGUAAAGAGCGUGUAGGCGGCUUCACAGGUCCGCUGUGAAAACUCGAGGCUCAACCUCGAGCUGUCGGUGGAAACCGUGUGGCUAGAGUCCGGAAGAGGAGAGUGGAAUUUCCUGUGUAGCGGUGAAAUGCGUAGAUAUAGGAAGGAACACCAGUGGCGAAGGCGACCACCUGGACUGAUACUGACACUGAGGUGCGAAAGCGUGGGGAGCAAACAGG
rnacentral:rRNA from 1 species